AGAUCUCUUCACCAUGUGUGUUGUGGACGACCUGGGGAAUAAUCUGCACCGAAAAAUAUAGGCUACAUUAUUAAACCACGCAGAGAUCCACUUCAUGCAUCAUUGUUUCUUGAUCAUUUCUUAAACACUACAGGCGCAUGUAGCCAAACCAAUUCGUGGCAUCACGCAUCGUGAUGCAGCCAUUUGCCGCGGACACAGAUUGACAACCACCACUGAAGUAGCCGCUUACCGCCAAAAAAGCAUGAUGCAGAUUGCGGCGUCGCGACACUGGACGGAGAAAAAAGCAUAGGCCUACUCCGUCAGCUGCAUUGAGUUAUCUGCGAGACUGCAGGGCACAAUUCCGAGUGCCUCCGUGGACUUCUCAUGUCACCAAAACUUCGAAUGCACCAUAAUGGAGCGCCUUGCUGAAGAUCGGAUCAAUGUGCUGGUUUCAUUGACGACAUCAGGUCCAGUGACUGUCCAGCCGUCAUAAGUUUGAUCUGCAUAGCCCGAGUUCUCAAUGAGCCCAUCGCCGUCCCGGUCAAACUUCAUCUCAGACUCCAUCACCGCCUGUAUACCCGAUCAAAACAGCAAAGCUGUGAGUGCAGCUGAUGCACAUUGGUUGUGAAGGACCCAUUUGACCAUUUUUGUAUUUCUGUUACCAUACUGUAAAAUUUGGCUUUAGGUUGCUUUUAUGUUAUUUUAAGGUUGGUACUACUUGCAAGAAAUGAUUAAAUAAUUUGUAUUUUAGAACUAGAUGUACUGCAUAUCGGUGUUUAAUGACCAAGACAUUUUUGUUUUGAAGUUUCAAAAUAGGUGACAAACUUCUUUACAUCUUAGUGGUGACACGGUUCAUGAAAAAAAAUUCUCUUAUCUUGGAUCGGAACAUGAGUGCACCGUAGGGUUUUGACAGUUCAUGCGUAAUAUAGCCU